rnacentral:rRNA from 1 species
AUGGCGGAGCUCGGCCUGCGGGAAGAGGACCUCGAUGAUGUGGUUUAUGAUGAGAAGGAGGCGCCGCCGGAGGCAGCUCGCUGGAUUGCGCUUGCUAGAGUUCAUACGGCAAAAACCUAUAGUCAAUUUUGGUUUUUCAGGAAUAUGAGGGCUACGUGGGAUCUAGCCCAAGAAGUCCAGUUCAAGCCGCUUGAAGAAAAUUUAUAUACUAUACAGUUCUCAUGCUUAGGGGAUUGGGAA